GAGAUCACAGACUUACAGUGAACAGAGAGAGAGAGUAGGAGGAAGAGGAGGAGAGUGACAAUGAGAGUAAUUAGAAGGAGAAGUAGAGGGCGAAAUGGUAAAAUAGAGGAGAGGUAACAAGUUUCUCGUUGGAAUGGGUCGGCGGUUUUGUGUGAAUGAUUUAUGGGCGUGGUGAGAUUUUGCUGCUGGAAAGGACAACUGGAAAAUGGUGAAGAGAGAGAGUUUCU
rnacentral:misc_RNA from 1 species